rnacentral:rRNA from 1 species
UACGUAGGGGGGCAAGCGUUGUCCGGAUUUAUUGGGCGUAAAGAGCGUGUAGGCGGCCAGGUAGGUCCGCUGUGAAAACUCGAGGCUCAACCUCGAGAUGUCGGCGGAAACCAUCUGGCUAGAGUCCGGAAGAGGAGAGUGGAAUUCCUGGUGUAGCGGUGAAAUGCGCAGAUAUCGGGAGGAACACCUAUGGCGAAGGCAGCUCGCUGGGACGUUACUGACGCUGAGACGCGAAAGCGUGGGGAGCAAACAGG